CUGGCCUAGAAGAGAGCUUUUUGGAAAAAUGCAAAUAACAAUGCUAAUUGUCUCUGAUUCUUUUAAAUUGUUGGUAGGUGAAUGUAUCUAUGCAAAUGUGCAUCGUAUAUAACUUUCAGUAAGCUGUUCAUUGGAUAACGGUGAUUCAGCCUGAGUUAUCUCAAUUUGUUUUCUCUAAUGUUACAACAUUUCAGGUGGUACGGUUCAUCUGGACCAGCCUCUGAUGUGGGGAAGACCAAGCGAGAGCACACUGCGGAGAGCAAUGUGAUAAUUCAAUAUUUUGCUGUUGAUGUGUUUCGAGAGCCAGCACACAGUGUGCAUUUCCCGGUUGCUCCCAGCUUAUUUUGCCACAGACCUACAGAGACCAGACUUCAAGAUGUUCCUGUGGACAGGAAUUUACACAAAAAACCAGAUUAAAUUCUCCUGUGUUUUCUUUUGGAAAUGGGAUGGAAGUGAAAACAAAAUGUUGUUCUACCAUAUAUCAAGAUGAGGGCUGAUAUUCUGUCCAGAGCUUAAGUAAGUAGAAUUGAUUUGCUGAAAUGCUGAAAUGCUUGCAACUUUACACAUUUUUGAAAUUUUCUUUCUGUGGGAUGGAGGCAGAGAUCUUGACGAUGCUCGCUCUCUGGGGCUUCUGUGUAUCACCGGGUGAAAAUGGUCUUUCCUUAUCUGGAAUUCCCCUUCCCUUCCCACCAUUAUGUAACCAGCUCCAGCAUCUCCACAUGGCAAACCCUUCUCAAUGCCCCUGCACACAGAAUUUGUCCUUUACUCCUUGGUCUCUGCAUGUGCCCCGUGCUUCUGCUGUGGCAUGUGCCACACUGUGCUUUUUAACAUGUCCGUCUUGAUGAUAUGCUCUAGAUUCAUCUGUGGGACUGAACCUUGUCUUUGAUCACUAGCGCACCUUGUGGAAACUAAUUUGCAGGCAACAGUGUUGAACUAUUCAUCUCUAUUCUAAUUCUCAUUUAUUUGUGGAGAGAAUAGAACGGGAUAACUUAUUCUGUGGUUGUGAAAACCUGAGAAUUCAACUGGAAUCGAGUUCUCUUGUAAAAUGUGAGUUUGAGGGAAGAAACGGUGUGCAACUUGUAUGUGAUGAUAUCCCCAGACAACGGUGCAUCCAUUAUGUAUCAGGUGCUAGUCUGUUUUGCAUUGCUGUAAAGGAGUACCUGAGCCUGGGCAAUUUAC